GAUCCUGGCUCAGGAUGAACGCUGGCGGCGUGCCUAACACAUGCAAGUCGAGCGGAGAUAGGUUGAAGCCUAGCGAUUCCUAUCUUAGCGGCGGAUGGGUGAGUAACACGUGGGUAACCUGCCCUGUACUGGGGGAUAACAGCUGGAAACGGCUGUUAAUACCGCAUAUGCGCACGGAGCCGCAUGGCCCUGGGCGGAAAGAUUCAUCGGUACAGGAUGGGCCCGCGCCGGAUUAACUUGUUGGCGGGGUAACGGCCCACCAAGGUGAUGAUCCGUAGCCGACCUGAGAGGGUGACCGGCCACAUUGGGACUGAGACACGGCCCAAACUCCUACGGGAGGCAGCAGUGGGGGAUAUUGCACAAUGGGGGAAACCCUGAAUGCAGCGACGCCGCGUGAAGGAAGAAGUAUUUCGGUAUGUAAACUUCUAUCAGCGGGGAAGAAGAUGACGGUACCCGCACAAGAAGCCCCGGCUAACUACGUGCCAGCAGCCGC
rnacentral:rRNA from 1 species